rnacentral:rRNA from 1 species
AGGGUUUGAUUAUGGCUCAGGAUGAACGCUAGCUACAGGCUUAACACAUGCAAGUCGAGGGGCAGCAUUUUAGUUUGCUUGCAAACUAAAGAUGGCGACCGGCGCACGGGUGAGUAACACGUAUCCAACCUGCCGAUAACUCAGGGAUAGCCUUUCGAAAGAAAGAUUAAUACCUGAUGGCAUAGGAUUAUCGCAUGAUAAUCCUAUUAAAGAAUUUCGGUUAUCGAUGGGGAUGCGUUCCAUUAGUUUGUUGGCGGGGUAACGGCCCACCAAGACUGCGAUGGAUAGGGGUUCUGAGAGGAAGGUCCCCCACAUUGGAACUGAGACACGGUCCAA